rnacentral:lncRNA from 1 species
GUCUUCUGGUGCAAGCGGGUGCAAGUGUCUAAAAUUGGAUAUGGAAAUUCUUAAAUAUCUAUUCUUUGUUUCUAUUUUACGUAUGUAUUACAUAUUGGUGCAAAGUACAGCCUACCUUACACUCAUAUAUUCAUUUCCUAAAUCAAGAUAACAUUUUCAGGUUAAUUAGUUUUCAACAAUUACCAUGUAAUGGUGCACAAUACGCCGGACAAUGACUUACGGGUCGCCUAGUGCUGCAUGUACGCAUGUCUAUUUAUCACUAGACCAUAUCCGGAAAUUCAUUUCAUUCAGACGACUCAAAGCACGUGAGAAGGACUAGAAAACGUGAUAGAACGCGGUAAGUUCAAAGAUUGUUUGAAAAACUUUUUUUCAUAAAGAUAUUUUCUAAUUUUAAAGUAGAAUGUAGACAUUUUCUCCAUCUAAUUGCAUAAAGUUUAGCGUAUAGAAGAAUGACUUGCAAAAUGAUUCCGUACAUAAUUCAUUUGUUCUGGAUUUGUUAACGUAGACAAUUUUCCAGUCUGGUGGCCAAUUAGCGUGGGUAAUUAGACAACAAAAGCCUGAACCAACCUGACAGAAAUACAUCGAUGAAGGAAGCGUUAAAUAAAGUAUUAAAUUAUCCUUGUGUGUUUAAUUUUGUUAUAAAUGUUCUUGUCUUUUAUUUUGGUGACCUAUUCUUUUAAAUUUUAACAAUGUAUACUAAAAAGCA